AGUGAACGCUGGCGGUAUGCCUAACACAUGCAAGUCGAACGGCAACACAGUAAGGGGUGGCUAUGACUGGUGGCGGGUGGCGUACUGGUUAGGAAUACAUCGGAAUCUAGUGUUUAGUGGGGGGAAACGUAUGGAAACAUAGGCUGAUACCUCAUGCUGCCUGCGGGUGAAAGCAGAGGAUCUUCUGACCUUGCGCGAUUGAAUGAGCCGAUGUCGGAUUAGCUAGUUGGCGGGGUAAAGGCCCACCAAGGCGACGAUCCGUAGCUGGUCUGAGAGGAUGACCAGCCACACUGGGACUGAGACACGGCCCAGACUCCUACGGGAGGCAGCAGUGGGGAAUAUUGGACAAUGGGCGCAAGCCUGAUCCGGCAAUACCGCGUGCGUGAAGAAGGCCUUCGGGUUGUAAAGCCCUUUUGUCGGGAAAGAAAAGCAGCACGUUAAUACCCCGCUGUUAUGACGGUACCCAAAGAAUAAGCACCGGCUAACUUCGUG
rnacentral:rRNA from 1 species